GCUAGUGUGGCAUAGUGGUUUGAGUGUUGGACUAUGACUCUGGAAAACAGGGUUCAAUCCCCAGUUUGGCC
rnacentral:tRNA from 1 species